rnacentral:lncRNA from 1 species
UUUAAUUAGGUCUUUCCACUUUUCUGUGGAAAGACCUAUUGUAUUUCUUCUGAUUAUUAAGUCUUUCCACUUUUCUGUGGAAAGACUUAUUGUAUUUGUUCUGAUUAUUAUUAUUAUUAUUAUUUUUUUUUUUUUUUUUCCGCCAACUUUUUUUCUUGCGAUAAAUGUUUGUUUCGCAAUAUGUCGCUUAGAUAUUUCUCAUAUUGUAUCGUAUAGUUUAUGCGCUUUUAAAUUUCACCCUGCUAAGCCGAACCAUUUUCUUUGUAAGAGUUAUCUCCCUAUUCACUGUUUAUCAUCAGAGCGUAUCUCCUUCGUAACAAAAAAAGAUAGCGACAAAAUUCUUUUUACAAAUUGUUCGUUACAUCCUCAGUAAUUUUUGGCGUAUUUGGAUCGAAGCGAUUCGAUGAAAUUUUAAAGGAGUUAUCUACCUUUAAGGAAUAAAUUUGUUCGUAUGUUUUUUUAUCUCAUAAACCGUUAACCGUAUAACCCUGGAAUGUUUUUAUUUGAGUUCCCUGGGUCCUAACUUAGAAAAUUAGGUCAAGGUCAAAGGUCAAGGUCAAGUUCUCAAUUGUGACUUUUGCUUGUUUUUGCAUUUUCUCUGACACUGUGAGAGAUACAUAUAAAAGAACAAUUGCAAAAUGUCUGCUUUAUUGUAAUGAAGAUAUGCUACAUUUAGUCUCAUACAAUUAAAUGGUAUCUUAUAGGAGUUGUUGCCCCUGAAAUGUCUUGAUAUGAGGUUAUUUGAUUAUAACUUCAAGUAAGUUCAUUAUAAAGACAUUUGACCUUAUACAAAAGGUUAAGUGACAAAUGACCUUGAAAAAUGGCUACCGGAAGUGACCUUGAGAAAACCGGAAGUAGCUUUUUUUGCAGUUUUUUUCACAUAAAAGUUCUCAAAAUCC